rnacentral:rRNA from 1 species
GUCUAGGGCGAUACCACCCUGAAUGAGCCCGAUCUCCUCUGAUCUCGGAAGAUAAGCAGGGUCAGGCCUGGUUAGCACUUGAAUGGGAGACUGCCUGGGAAUACCAGGUGCUGUAGGCU